UGCCAGCUAGCUCACUCGGUAAAAGCAUCCGGUUGUGAAGCAGAAGUGACUAUCAUGGCGCGGGUUCGAUCCCCGCCUCGUAC